UACGUAGGGAGCAAGCGUUGUCCGGAAUCAUUGGGCGUAAAGCGCGCGUAGGUGGCUUCAUAAGUCCGUUGUGAAAGUCAAAGGCUCAACCUUUGAAAGCCGAUGGAUACUGUGAAGCUAGAGUACGGAAGAGGCGAGUGGAAUUCCUGGUGUAGCGGUGGAAUGCGCAGAUAUCAGGAGGAACACCGAUGGCGAAGGCAAUCCCCUGGACCUGUACUGACGCUCAUGCACGAAAGCGUGGGGAGCAAACAGG
rnacentral:rRNA from 1 species